AAGUAGCUGGGACUACAGGCGCAUGCCACCGUGCCCAGGGAGAUUUCUAAGGUAGCAGAUGGACCAUUCAAAGACUUAGAAAAUGAGGCCAAACAGAUGAAUAAAUGGUGAGAAUGGUGAGUCUUACUUUUAAACGGAAUUCGUAAUUUCUUUCUUUUUUA
rnacentral:lncRNA from 1 species